CAGUAUGAGUCAUGUGGAGCGUCUUGAGAUAACCGCUUUGACUGAAGGACUUGCCACAUGUAGUGCACAGAUACAGCUUUUCUCCAGUAUGUCAUACAGUGUCUAUGUGACAGUGAGCUCUCUGUUGGUUCUGAAACUCCUCCCACAUUGAUACACACUGAUAUGGCUUUUCUCCAGUAUGGAUCAUCUGGUGUUUGUUGAGAUGAGCCAACUGAGUAA